GCCAGUAUGGCUCAAUGGUAGAGCAUCGGCUCACACACUAAAGGGUCAUGGGUUCAAUUCCCCGUCAAUGGCA
rfam:Myotis brandtii contig189215, whole genome shotgun sequence.